GUGGGGAAUAUUGGACAAUGGGGGGAACCCUGAUCCAGCCAUGCCGCGUGUGUGAAGAAGGCCUUUUGGUUGUAAAGCACUUUAAGCGAGGAGGAGGCUACCGAGAUUAAUACUCUUGGAUAGUGGACGUUACUCGCAGAAUAAGCACCGGCUAACUCUGUGCCAGCAGCCGCGGUAAUACAGAGGGUGCAAGCGUUAAUCGGAUUUACUGGGCGUAAAGCGCGCGUAGGUGGCCAAUUAAGUCAAAUGUGAAAUCCCCGAGCUUAACUUGGGAAUUGCAUUCGAUACUGGUUGGCUAGAGUAUGGGAGAGGAUGGUAGAAUUCCAGGUGUAGCGGUGAAAUGCGUAGAGAUCUGGAGGAAUACCGAUGGCGAAGGCAGCCAUCUGGCCUAAUACUGAUACUGAGGUGCGAAAGCAUGGGGAGCAAACAGGAUUAGAUACCCGUGUAGUCC
rnacentral:rRNA from 1 species